AGCUUCAUUGCCCACCAAAUCAUGUGAUGAAUGCUAGAACUAGGGCUGCAUCCUACUAGCAUCAAGUAUCAGCACAAAAUGGAGACCAGGCCUCCUUUAUAUCAACAAGGUGUCCAUCAAGUGGCCUCACCCACUGCCCCUGGAUACCACCCAUAUCUGGGAAAUGUUCAGCAGCUAGAAAACCGUGGCGAGAGAAAUAAUGAUGACAACAAUCAGCAGUCCGAGAAUAACUCAGACAUAAUACUUCCAAUAGACCCAGGAGAUGUCCCACAACAAAAAUAUCUCAAUCUUGAGUUUGAUGCGGUCUUCCAUGAGCACAAGAAGACAAGUUUGGCAAAGCCGUUGCAUGACAUCACCGAAAUUGUCUACAAGUGGACGAAGCUCAUCACCUAUCACGCCUUUGUCUUUGUGAUUGGUAUUCCACUAAUGAUAGUUUAUGCUCUGCUAAAUGGCAUAAUGGCAUUCCUCUACUCGUGGAUUUGGAGCCCUGUUUUUCGUCUCUAUAUUUUCUGGAUGGCAGCCAUUAUACCCCUGAUCACCAUGCCACUUGUGACUAUCUACAGGCCUUUCGUAGAUGUGACAGCUCGCUGCCUCAGCCAAAUCCGUAUGAAAGCAGCCCUCGAUGGAAAAGGAUUUGUUCAAAAUGUAUAAUAGGGACUCUUUUUCUGUAAUACUUUGAGACAGUCUUAACAAUAAUUAUGAAUACCAUAAGCUAUACAGAUCUAGAUGAUGAAUGUCUGAUUUUAGAGAGUAUAGCUCUAGGCAGUCUGAACAGAGAGCGUAUCAGCAUUAGAGGACUUACUCUCCUCAGUCUGGAUCGGAAGAGAUGCCACAGGAGGGGAGCCAUGAGGAGACUCACAGUCGCUGUGCUCAGUAUUACCAAGUACACCUGCAUGGGAAUAGUACUGCAUUUAAACCGUGAUUGAAAACUUUAUUAGAAUAAUUAUGGUCAAAGUGUUAUAUAGUGCAGUGAGUCUACCCACCACAGGCUUCGGUGCAUCCCCAACAGAGGAACUAACCAUAGCCAGUAAUUACACAUGCAAGCAGCGACUAUGAUAAUUGGUAACAAGAGCAUAACUCUGAGCCCUCCUACACAAGAUAGCUCCACGACUAUAAAAGCAAGCCUCACAACUACGAGAUUACGAUUCCCAUGACUACAAAGGAGACAGAAGUGCCUGAGGUGCCUGAGGUCCAGCACCACGACACUAACAGUAUCAGAGAUGAUGAGUCAGAAUUGGAUGUAGUAGAUCAUAAGUCACCAAGAGAUG